GAGAGAGAGAGAGAAAAUGAGAGAGAGAGAGAGAGAGAGAGAGAGAGAGAGAGAAACUUAUCUGCCCUUUUUGACGAGUGAAAUACGCAGGAAAACAAAGUGCCACAGGAAAGCUCAAAAAGGUUUCCAAAUGAGCUCUGCCUUCCAGUGUUCAACUUUCUGUUUACUAUUUUAUCUACCCUCUAUCUUCAAAUUACUUCUCUAGCCUGGGUCAGACAGUAAAUUUGUACAUCUACACUAACUCACUUUCAGUUGGCCACAGCCGAACUGUACAUCUUGACUCUUUUUUUUUUUUUUUUUUACAGCUUUUCCAUACUGGGGCCCACUUCCUGCCCAGUUGAGGAAAAAAAUCUGGCCUGAAGAUGAAAUGACUGCUUAACGUUACACUAAAACAUCUGGUACCAUUUUAUGCACAGACCCAUGUCUGAGAGCAGGCGAUUCUAGCGGUCUCUCCAGCGGCACAGCGCAUACCCAAACCUCCCCAGGGUGACAUCAUCCCAUAUAUGGACUCUCCAGCCCAGCCCUCCCCCUUUUCCUGGUCCUAAAUUCAUUGCCAGUUCCCCAGUCUGCAGCAAAUGUGCCACGUCAAGACUGGAAAUCACAGCCCUUGAGUGUGUCUCAGUCAGCGCAGCAGAAUUCAGGGGGGAAAGCUGAAUGCAACCCCUGGUGCAGGAAGGGAGGCUUUUCCUGAGGACCGGGAGAGGAUUUUAAGUACAUGGAAGGAAGCUUCUGGAGAUCCUGCUCCGUCGCCCCAGUGUUCAGACUACCUGUUCAGGACAAUGCCGUUGUACAGUAGUCUGCACAUUGGUUAGACUGGGCAAGGGAGAGCAACGCCAUGGACUGCUGGGGACAAAAUGGGCUGUUUCCAAGGAGAAGACAUUUGUUUGCUCCUUUUUUGAAUCUCAUAUCCAGUGUUUUUCUUCACAGGUUUUGCACACUAGGGACCAAGAAGCCCUCGAGGACACCGCUGAGAAAAGACUGCCGAAAGGAAGACCAGCGGGUAAGGCCUUCUUGACUGCUCACCUGGUCUGUGACCAAGGGAACCUAGGUGGGGAGUCCAUGAUUUGUGUUAACAUGCAAGGGAAACAGAGGUACAUGUGUGAUGGGUAGAGAUGUGUUUAAUUUUAAAAGAGCGAAAGUGUGUGGUAUAUAGCGAUUCACUGUUUUUUUGUUUUUUUCCUGAAGAUUGAUAAUUCGAGUGUUUUCUUAAGUGUAAAGGUUUUCCCACUUCAAAAUGUAAUAUGAAAAAACUCACUCCAGACACUUAAGAAUAGUUUAAUGAGGCUACUUCUGAAUUGUUUAAUAAUAAUUCAGAGAUUUAAAAACGUAUAUGGAUGAAGGCUGUAUGUGUAACUUUUAACAUCCCAGGACUGAAGUCAUUUUUCCCAAAGUAAAGAAUACUUGCUGGUUUUUAAAUGCUAUAUGGAUAGUGCUUUUCUGAAGAUUUCCUUCUAUAAUAUAAACACCAGGAAUAAUAGUACCUAACAAUAAAAGAAGAACCUGCCAAGUCUUGCCUACCAGACAAUGCAGAUGGGAUUUGCCCAGAGAAGAGCGCCAACCCACAACUUACUGAGUCAGCAAUUGAAUAAAUCAGGAAAUAAAAAUCUCUUAUCUUCAGAUACCCCUGUAAAUAUCUUUCGCUUUUUUUUUUUUAAUCAAAGAGUAAUUGAUACUUGCUGCUCAGCUGAGCCCUCUUGCCUAUAGCUUACAAUGCUUCCACUUCUCCGAGCAUUUAAAAUGAUAAGGCACUUUGUCUAGAAACCCACUGAUAAAAAAGGAAUUUGUAAACGAAGGCAGAAGUUUUCUUUGGUCAAUUUCCAGCUGUCCUGGAGGUGAAGGAGGGUGGGAGAGGGGGAGGAAGGUGGGAGGGAAGAAAACCCUCAAGCUGAAUGAAAUCCUAAUAGAGAAAAUAAUAGAGCAAGUCUGGAUUGCAAUGUGAUCUGUGCUGAACUUUAGAGGUGGGUCCCUUAAAGAAAGUUCUGGAAAAAUGUUAUUGCCUCAUCACUAAUUUUCUUAACCCCCAUUUAGUUCAAUUCCCAAACAAUUCUAUAUAAUGAAAACAUCUCUUCUACGGGGUUUGUGAAAAAUAAAUGUAAUCUCUUUUGUCCUUUAAAGUUACAGUGGUUCCUGAACAAAUCCUUUUCUAAGUUAUACAUUUUGCAACAAUUCAAAAAUUGACUCAAGUUCUCUUUAGCAAAAUAUUUUAUUAUAAAAGGUUCCCUAAGCUUUCUUUUGUCAAAACAACUUACUUUAAAAAUUACCCUUCUGAUCACCCCAAAAUGUGUAUAAAGAAAACAUAAGUAUUCUUAUAUAUUCAUGAUUAUUAGUUAAAAUAUACACAGCAAGGAGAAAUUUAGCUACUUUCACUUAGAUGAUAUAGUAAAGUCAUCCUUUCAUUUUCUAUUGUGACUUGCAGAGUUCCAUAUUAACUAUUUUUAGCAGAACAAAUGAGACGUUAAAAAUCUAUAUAGUUUCUUUUACAUAAGAAAACUUUAAAAAAAGUAACUUAGAGGAGCUCAUUUUUUCAAGAAAUAUAUUUUUUCUAAUUGAUACAAUUACUGAAGAAGAAUAGCUAACAAGGUACUUUGGUAAUGUUUAAGUUUUCUCAAAUUUUCUGGGGUUUUUUUUUUAACUCUAGAAAUGAUUACAGUUCAUAAUUUGCUUUCAUUUAAUGUAUAUUUAAUUUCAAUUUCUUUCUUCAUGUUAAAUGGUCUUUUUGUUUCAAAGAAAUGAAUCCCUACGGGUCCCUCACCUAUUUUCUCCCUCAGGAUGACUUUCGGUCUGGAGAUAGAAGGGACAUAAGGGUGCCCCUGGCAUAAGUACAAGAGUAGAAAUACAAGAAUUACUUUGUAAAAGGAUAACCAAGGAGUUCCUGCACGUGCUUGAUGUGGCUCUAGCGACUUAUUUUUGAGGCAAACUUUUAACAAAUGAAAAGGAAUAGUACUUAUUUUUCAAUUAUAUGGGCUAAAUUAAAGAUCAAAAGUAAAAGCUCAUUUUAUAAAGCUCUGCUGAAUGAAGGCAGGAUUGUAGUUUAUGCGCUGGUACACAUGCCCACAUUUAUAUACAUUAUAGCCGUAUCUAUAUCCAGGUAAAUUAGAAAAAUGUUUAAUUUUAUUUUCAUAUUACUUUAUAAGGAGAUAUACAAAUAUUUUAGGGAUCAUGGAAUCUAUUCCAGAGGAAACUAACCAACAGUGAGCAUCUUCAACUAAAACUACCCCUGGAUGUAAUGGUUGCAUGCAUCAUUCCUUUAAUUGAGCAGAGUUAACUGGAUCAAAUUAUUUAUGGGAGAGAGAGGAAAAGUUAUAAAGAAUUUUAGUAAUUUUUAAUUUCCACCACUAUACUCUUUGUAAGUGAAUCACUCUAUAAUUACUUUCUGUUGCACUGAAUGCAGCAACAGUAACACAAUAGUAUUUUAAGGCACUGGUUUUUGGCAUACUCUAACCUUGUAGCUAUUUAAAUAACAGACAAGUUUACUCAUGUUUAUUAUUCUGUCAAGGAAAAAAAAAGUUCCUUUACUCGGAAGUGAUGGCCAGAAACAAAAUCAGAAAUUUACUUUCUUGAAAUUACAUAAGUAUACAGAAAAUGGCACUUACCAGCUUUUGUUAAAACAUUACCUUAUCUAAUCACUGCAUAAAAGUCCAGAUUUGUAGAAAAUUGUCAUUUUCUCAGUAUCUAAAAACUAUUUUGCUUUCCAUUAAGUUUCUAUUUGCUAUUUUCUCAGAAUUUUACAAUUAAAGAUAAAUCACAAACUAUUUGUUUUUCUUAAAGUUCUUUGAGAAAAUGUCUAAUUAUACAAUCUGUGGACAAUACUGUGUUUUUUGGUGCUGUAUUUUUUAAGAAGUCCUACUUACUGGAAUUUUGACUAUUUGGAUAUUUUUGUUUUUAAAAGGGGAGGGGAAUUUGCUUAAUACUUCUACAAAUGUGAAUUGAUAAUUGAUAUUAAAAUAGUAGAAUUAUUCUCGACUCACCAGAAUUAAAUUUUGUAUCUGCAUAUUUAACACUAUUAGCUCAUAUAAAUUAUAGAAAAUUUUUCAAAGGAUCUGGUUUUAAUUUUUUGGAUAUGAAAUGAAUUUGCCUUUUCUGCCUUUUCUUAAGGUACUAUUUUGUAACUAUGUUGCACUAACUAUAUCCAAAACACAUUCUGAGCAUCACUGUGAGUAACAACCUUCCAGUUUAUACCCUUUUCAUUCACAGCAUGUCCCUGUAGUUAAUUAAGAGGUGGAUAACUUAAGCUCACAACUGCCUUUAAUUUGAUUUCACAUCCACACUUAGAAACUUUGCAUUUAAAAGGAAAAUGAGACAUUUAAAUCGGUUCCUGUUGUUUAACAUAUAAUUGGUAAAAACAUAUUCCCUUGUAAAAUCCUAUUAUCAAAGCAUCAGAUACCAAAGUCAGCAGCUUGGGUUGCCAAAUACAUUAGGCUCAUUAUUUUGAAAAGGGCUGCUGUUUCCAUGUCAAUGAUAAUUUUCUUUUUCAUGGGCAAGGUUAUUGUACUUAUCUACUAAAAGAAACGUGUAUAAACAUAGUUUUUAUCUUUAACUUCAGUAUUAAAAUAUGCAGUUUUUUGCAAAGAGGAAAAACAUCUGGUUCAAUUACUCUGAACUCUGACUACAUGUGGGCCAGUACUAAUAUGAAUUGGAUUUAAGAAAAAACCUUGUGUUUAAUCUCUUUUUUUCCUAAAAUUUUAAUGUGAGUUUUCUGUUAUGCAAAUUAUCCAUGUUAGCACAUUUGGAACAAAUGUAUAAAUGUACUUUCUGAAUAAAGUCAAAAGUCUAACAUGUUUUUAGUUCCAUAAUGUUUUAAUGUUUAAUUAUAUUGUGUAUUUUUCUCCCUCUCCCCUUACUCUCCAAAAUCACCAAAUCUGGAAAACAGGCUGAUUGUAUCUGUCUAUGAGCAAAGGAAACCUGAAGGAAUCAAGGGCCUGGCUGGACAGAGUUGUCAUGUGUCUGCCUGUCUACACUUGCUGUGCAGAACAUCCGCUCACCUGUACAGCAGGCACAGACAGGCAGUCACAUGACAACCCAGCCUGAAUGACAACCAGCCAUUGAAAGAAAGCAGCCCUCACACCAUAGCAUCUACACCAAGAGCUACAACCAAAAUGAGGGGCUUGGGGCCUGGGGCUUUAAUCUGUUGGUUUAAUACUUAACUCAUGUAUUAUUUUAUUUUGAUUCAAGUAUUAAAACCCACCAAAAGUAAAGUGAGUGGUGCCUAUGAAAUAUAAUAAAACCCAUUUCUGAAAAUGUUCCUGUGCAUUCUAUAGUUCUCUUUUCCUAAUUGUUGUCAGUAAAUCACUAUCCUUGACAUUUAUUGUACACAGCUUUGCAGUACCCUACAUCAAUAUAGAAACUCAAUAUAACAGAACAGUAUAACUUCAGUCUGAUGCUUGACAAAGAAAAAAUUAUUCUAAGAAUUCUCGUCCAUAAACUAAAUAUGGUUUUCUAUGUCAUGAUUUAUUUUUAAGGGGAUAGGGUGGAAAGACAGACGAAAAGGGAGGAAAAGAGUACUCCAAAGGAUCAACUACUUUGAGUUACCUCUGCCAGUCUGGGUCUGGGUAAAACACAGUGAAAAGACUACUAUUUCCAACAUAAUGUUCAACUAUAUUAAAACAAUAGCUUCUCCUCUUUUGACACAUGGAAAGUUGAAACUUUGAUACUUCCACGCGUCAUGGUAUACAUAAAUUUAUGACUGCGUCACUCUUUCAUUAAGAAGGCGCUUAUGCUACAGAUGCUACAGUUUUAGGAGCAGAAUUUACAAGGCCAACACAUUCACUUGCAACCUAUGCUUCCAUCACUAUAAACUUUCAAGAUCUUGAGAUGUUCAGGCAAUUCAUUUAUCUUCAGAAGCGUAAGGAAAGUGGUUAAUGCACUUGAAGUGUAUAUUUUGCCACAUCUUUUGAGAAAAUAUCCAAACUUCAGUUUAUGCACUGUUGACUGGAGUGAAAUGAUAAGGGAUGGCUUUUGUCUAUGAAUAUCUUAAAUACUUAAGGGUAAAAGGUGGGAAGAUGGAUACAAUUAGAAAUGUGUCAACUUUUAUUUAGUUCAUUAACAUGUUUUAGCUUCAGGAUUUAAAAUUAAUUUUCAUCUUUCUUAGAAAGAUUCUGAUCAAGCUUAAAAAAAUGUAACACAAGGGUACUCAAAACCGUUUCUUCACAUUUAAUUAUGAAACACUUUAUGUAUGUAUUCUGAACUAAAGCAAACUAUUUUUCAUUCAGCUAUUUUAUUUUUAAAAUGAAAGUCUGUCUUAAGGCUAAGAGCCCAGUGAGUUUCAAAUUUUCUGACAAUGAUAUUUUAACCAAACCUGACAUUAUAGUUUUUUUAAUUAAAAAAACUGAAUGAUGGGGCAAAACUACAAAGCAAAAAUAUGAUCAAAGUUAAAUUUCUCUCAUUUAAACAAUCUUGUCUUAUGGCAAUAUGUCAUCUGCUAAAAUUCAUCUCUGCUUCUGCAAGAUACAUUGUGUGAUGCAGAUUUUUACGUUAAAUAAAAGUUCCAUUACUAGCAAAUAAAGUCCUAAACAAUACUCACAAAACGUAGAAUAUAAACAGGAAGACAAUAUAAAAAUGACUCACAGAAUAUCGACAUCGUUCUACCCAAUCUUAAAUGCCUUGUACAACCUGUUGCAAAUGCUGCGUAUGAGAGUUCACGUAUGGAAUUAUUCUACUGGACCCUGCAAGGCAGUCUCAGGAGAGUGCUUGAUAGCUCCCAGAAUGAGACAAUGACCUAGCCAGAACAUUAAGGAGACUACACCCGUCCUUCAGACUCCAAAGGGAAAGCUAGGACGGCAGCAGAGUCAUCCUAAAGUGAGAUUCUCCAGGAUAACAUUUUCAACAUUUUUCCUUAAAACAUAAAGUUAACACCUUUUUUGUUAAAUAUUUUUUACUCAAUUUUCAAAAA